rnacentral:rRNA from 1 species
UAUCUCUGUAGAGUCUGCAUAUCAAUAAGCGGAGGAAAAGAAACUAACAAGGAUUCCCUUAGUAACGGCGAGUGAAGCGGGAAGAGCUCAAAUUUGAAAUCUUCAAGGUUCUACCUUGACGAAUUGUAGUUUAAAGAAGUGUUUUCUGUUAGAUGAGUAGCAAAAGUUCCUUGGAAUGGGAACAUCAUAGAGGGUGAGAAUCCCGUAUUUGGUUAUUCAUUCUAGCUUUGUGAUACACUUUCAAAGAGUCGGAUUGUUUGGGAAUGCAGUCCAAAAUGGGUGGUAAAUUUCAUCUAAAGCUAAAUAUUGGCGAGAGACCGAUAGCGAACAAGUACCGUGAGGGAAAGAUGAAAAGAACUUUGAAAAGAGAGUUAAACAGUACGUGAAAUUGUCAAAAGGGAAGCGUUUGACACCAGUGUUGUUUUUCCGAAAAUCAAUUACGAAUGGCUUGAUUCUGUGUUGUAUUGACCUUAUCAGCUUUCUUCACUUUUUUCGAGUCUUUCUUAAUGCACUUUUCGGUUAACAAGUCAACAUCAAUUUCUUUUGUUGUAAAAGAGUAUUCGGAAGGUGGCUUUCUUUUCGGAGAAAGUGUUUAUAGCCCUAUACUUCUACAAUCGGAGAGAUUGAGGUCUGCAGCGUAGAUCCUUCGGGGUUAGAUACAUUUGUGCUAAGUUGUAGCUUUUCAUAGACAACUUGUUGACUAUGUUUAGUCAUGCGGCUUACUCGCUUAUGCUAUUUUACCUACGCUUAGGAUGUUGAAGAUGUAGCACAUCAU